rnacentral:rRNA from 1 species
UAACCUGCCCAAGAGAUCGGGAUAACACCUGGAAACAGAUGCUAAUACCGGAUAACAACAGAUGAUGCCUAUCAACUGUUUAAAAGAUGGUUCUGCUAUCACUCUUGGAUGGACCUGCGGUGCAUUAGCUAGUUGGUAGGGUAACGGCCUACCAAGGCGAUGAUGCAUAGCCGAGUUGAGAGACUUAUCGGCCACAUUGGGACUGAGACACGGCCCAAACUCCUACGGGAGGCAGCAGCC